rnacentral:tRNA from 1 species
GGAUUUUUAGCUCAGUGGUAGAGCGCUUGCCUAGCAAGCACAAGGCCCUGAGUUCGGUCCUCAGCUCCA